rnacentral:rRNA from 1 species
AGGACGAACGCUGGCGGCGUGCUUAACACAUGCAAGUCGAACGGUGAAGGAGAGCUUGCUCUCUGGAUCAGUGGCGAACGGGUGAGUAACACGUGAGUAACCUGCCCUUGACUCUGGGAUAAGCGUUGGAAACGACGUCUAAUACCGGAUACGAGCUUCAGUCGCAUGGCUAGGAGCUGGAAAGAUUUCGGCAAGGAUGGACUCGCGGCCUAUCAGCUAGUUGGUGAGGUAAUGGCUCACCAAGGCGACGACGGGUAGCCGGCCUGAGAGGGUGACCGGCCACACGUGGGACUGGAGACGACGGCCCAGACCUCCGUACGGGAGCAGCAGGUGGGAAUAGUGCAC